UACAGAGGUCCCAAGCGUUGUUCGGAUUCAUUGAGCGUAAAGGGUGCGUAGGUGGCGACGUAAGUCGGGUGUGAAAGCCCCGGGCUCAACCUGGGAAUUGCAUUCGAGACUGCAUUGCUAGAGUACGGAAGAGGAAGGCGGAAUUCCCGGUGUAGCGGUGAAAUGCGCAGAUAUCGGGAGGAACACCUAUGGCGAAGGCAGCUCGCUGGGACGUUACUGACGCUGAGACGCGAAAGCGUGGGGAGCAAACAGG
rnacentral:rRNA from 1 species